AUUGAACGCUGGCGGCAUGCCUUACACAUGCAAGUCGAACGGCAGCACGGGGGCGAACCCUCGGUGGCGAGUGGCGAACGGGUGAGUAACACAUCGGAACGUAUCCUGUUGUGGGGAGUAACUAGUCGAAGAAUUAGCUAAUACCGCAUGACCUCGGAAGAGAAAAGACAGGGGACCCGGAGACGGGCCUUGCGCGAUUGGAGCGGCCGAUGUCCGAUUAGCUAGUUGGUGGGGUAAAGGCCACCAAGGCGACGAUCGGUAGCUGGUCUGAGAGGAUGGCCAGCCACACUGGAACUGAGACACGGUCCAGACUCCUACGGGAGGCAGCAGUGGGGAAUCUUGCACAAUGGGCGAAAGCCUGAUGCAGCGACGCCGCGU
rnacentral:rRNA from 1 species